rnacentral:rRNA from 1 species
CCAGACUCCUACGGGAGGCAGCAGUGGGGAAUAUUGGACAAUGGGGGCAACCCUGAUCCAGCAAUUCUGUGUGCACGAAGAAGGUUUUCGGAUUGUAAAGUGCUUUCAGCAGGGAAGAAGUAAGUGACGGUACCUGCAGAAGAAGCGACGGCUAAAUACGUGCCAGCAGCCGCGGUAAUACGUAUGUCGCGAGCGUUAUCCGGAAUUAUUGGGCAUAAAGGGCAUCUAGGCGGCCUGACAAGUCAGGGGUGAAAACCUGCGGCUCAACCGCAGGCCUGCCUUUGAAACUGUAAGGCUGGAGUACCGGAGAGGUGGACGGAACUGCACGAGUAGAGGUGAAAUUCGUAGAUAUGUGCAGGAAUGCCGAUGAUGAAGAUAGUCCACUGGACGGAAACUGACGCUGAAGUGCGAAAGCCGGGGGAGCGAACAGGAUUAGAUACCCUGGUAGUCCCGGCCGUAAACGAUGAUUACUGGGUGUGGGCAGGAAGACUGUCUGUGCCGAAGCGAAUGCGAUAAGUAAUCCGCCUGGGGAGUACGGCCGCAAGGCUGAAACUCAAAGGAAUUGACGGGGGCCCGCACAAG